UAAAUACCCUAACGUAGAAUAAAUUUGAAGAUUUGGGGGAAGAAAUUUCUUUUAUUUUUUGUAUUUUUCUAUUGCCCAAAAUGAUGUUGUAGUGACGUGUCACCUAUUAGUCCUACUCAUGUUUUAGAUUUGCCACAUCAGAUUCAAUUUCACCGGAAUAGUCGUCGGUGUUAAAAAUAAAAAAUUAUGAAAGUUCGUGUAUUUUAAUAAAAAAAUGAAAGUUCAUGUUAAAU
rnacentral:lncRNA from 1 species